AUGUCUUGUAGAUCAAUGGCCAACGCUAAUGUCAACAUGAACUUCAACGCGUUCCUAGAGAAAACCAAGCUGAAAGAUGAUGGCAGCAACUAUACGGACUGGGUCCGGAACCUGAGGAUCAUCCUCAUAGCUGCUAGGAAACAAUAUGUCCUAGAAGGACCGCUAGGUGAUGCUCCCGUCCCAGAGAACCAAGACAUUAUGAAUGCUUGGCAAUCUCGUGCUGAUGAUUACUCCCUCGUUCAGUGCGGCAUGCUUUACAGCUUAGAACCGGGGCUCCAAAAGCGUUUUGAGCACCACGGAGCAUAUGAGAUGUUCGAAGAGCUGAAACUAGUUUUUCAAGCUCAUGCCCGGGUCGAGAGAUAUGAUGUCUCCGACAAGUUCUACAGUUGUAAGAUGGAGGAAAACAGUUCUGUCAGUGAGCACAUCCUGAAGAUGUCUGGGUUGCACAACCGUAUGACCCAGCUGAACAUUAACCUCCCAGAUGAGGCGGUCAUUGACAGAAUCCUCCAGUCGCUCCCACCAAGCUACAAGAGCUUUGUGAUGAACUACAACAUGCAGGGGAUGGAAAAGACCAUUCCUGAAGUGUUCUCGAUGCUGAAGUCAGCAGAGGCUGAAAUCAAGAAAGAACAUCAAGUGUUGAUGGUCAAUAAGACCACUAAGUUCAAGAAGGGCAAGGGUAAGAAGAACUUCAAGAAGGACGGCAAAGAUGUUGCCGCGCCUGGUAAGCCAGUUACCGGGAAGAAGUCAAAGAAUGGACCCAAGCCUGAGACUGAGUGCUUUUAUUGCAAGGGGAAGGGUCACUGGAAGCGGAACUGCCCUAAAUACUUAGCGGAUAAGAAGGCCGGCAACACCAAAGGUAUAUUUGAUAUACAUGUGAUUGAUGUGUACCUUACCAGUACUCGUAGUAACUCCUGGGUAUUUGAUACCGGUGCCGUUGCUCAUAUUUGUAACUCACAGCAGGAGCUGCGGAAUAAACGGAGACUGGCAAAGGACGAGGUGACGAUGCGCGUCGGGAAUGGUUCCAAAGUCGAUGUGAUCGCCGUCGGCACGCUGCCUCUACAUUUACCUACGGGAUUAGUUUUGAACCUUAAUAAUUGUUAUUUAGUGCCAAGUUUGAGCAUGAACAUUGUA
rnacentral:rRNA from 1 species